rnacentral:rRNA from 1 species
UUGGAGGGCAAGUCUGGUGCCAGCAGCCGCGGUAAUUCCAGCUCCAAUAGCGUAUAUUAAAGUUGCUGCAGUUAAAAAGCUCGUAGUUGAAUUUCGGGACCAUCAUGUCGGUCGUGCCUCGGUACGUACUGGUAUUGUUGGUUUCUCCCUUCUGACGAACCAUGAUGUCAUUUAUUUGGUGUUGUGGGGAAUCAGGACUGUUACUUUGAAAAAAUUAGAGUGUUUAAAGCAGGCUCACGCUUGAAUACAUUAGCAUGGAAUAAUGAAAUAGGACGUUUGAUUCUAUUCUGUUGGUUUUUAGGAUCGACGUAAUGAUUAAUAGGGAUAGUUGGGGGCAUUAGUAUUCAAUUGUCAGAGGUGAAAUUCUUGGAUUUAUUGAAGACUAACUACUGCGAAAGCAUUUGCCAAGGAUGUUUUCAUUAAUCAAGAACGAAAGUUAGGGGAUCGAAGACGAUCAGAUACCGUCGUAGUCUUAACCAUAAACUAUGCCGACUAGGGAUCGGAUGAUGUUAAUUUUUUAAUGACUCAUUCGGCGCCUUACGGGAAAC